rnacentral:misc_RNA from 1 species
GAUGAAGAACGUAGCGAAAUGCGAUAAGUAAUGUGAAUUGCAGAAUUCAGUGAAUCAUCGAAUCUUUGAACGCACAUUGCGCCCGCCAGUAUUCUGGCGGGCAUGCCUGUUCGAGCGUCAUUACAACCCUCAGGCCCCCGGGCCUGGCGUUGGGGAUCGGAGGAGCCCCCCGUGGGCACACGCCGUCCCCCAAAUGCAGUGGCGGUCCCGCCGCAGCUUCCAUCGCGUAGUAGCUAACACCUCGCGACUGGAGAGCGGCGCGGCCACGCCGUAAAACACCCAACUCUUCUGAAGUUGACCUCGAAUCAGGUAGGAAUACCCGCUGAACUUAAGCAUAUCAAUAAGCGGAGGA